rnacentral:rRNA from 1 species
CCUACGGGAGGCAGCAGUGAGGAAUAUUGGUCAAUGGACGAGAGUCUGAACCAGCCAAGUAGCGUGAAGGAUGACUGCCCUAUGGGUUGUAAACUUCUUUUAUAAAGAACUAAAACGCGUCACGUGUGCCUUUUUGCAUGUACUUUAUGAAUAAGGAUCGGCUAACUCCGUGCCAGCAGCCGCGGUAAUACGGAGGAUCCGAGCGUUAUCCGGAUUUAUUGGGUUUAAAGGGAGCGUAGAUGGGUUGUUAAGUCAGUUGUGAAAGUUUGCGGCUAAACCGUAAAAUUGCAAUUGAUACUGGCAGUCUUGAGUACAGUUGAGGUAGGCGGAAUUCGUGGUGUAGCGGUGAAAUGCUUAGAUAUCACGAAGAACCCCGAUUGCGAAGGCAGCUUACUAAACUGUGACUGACAUUGAUGCUCGAAAGUGUGGGUAGCAAACAGGAUUAGAUACCCUAGUAGUC